CGAACGUUUUCGAACAUGGAAGAUCACAGGAAGGUCCCUAACGUAAUCCGAUUCUACCGCGAGCAAGCUCUCUACGGCGAGUUUUCUAACUUUUACCCUGCACCAAU
rnacentral:ribozyme from 1 species